rnacentral:rRNA from 1 species
AAUAGAUACCCUGGUAGUCCACGCCGUAAACGAUGAGUGCUAAGUGUUAGGGGGGUUUCCGCCCCUUAGUGCUGCAGCUAACGCAUUAAGCACUCCGCCUGGGGAGUACGGUCGCAAGACUGAAACUCAAAGGAAUUGACGGGGGCCCGCACAAGCGGUGGAGCAUGUGGUUUAAUUCGAAGCAACGCGAAGAACCUUACCAGGUCUUGACAUCCCACUGACCGCUAUGGAGACAUAGUUUUUCCCUUCGGGGACAGUGGUGACAGGUGGUGCAUGGUUGUCGUCAGCUCGUGUCGUGAGAUGUUGGGUUAAGUCCCGCAACGAGCGCAACCCUUGAUCUUAGUUGCCAUCAUUUAGUUGGGCACUCUAAGGGUGACUGCCGGUGACAAACCGGAGGAAGGUGGGGAUGACGUCAAAUCAUCAUCGCCCCUUAUGACCUGGGCUACACACGUGCUACAAUGGACGGUACAAACGGUUGCCAACCCGGCGAGGGGGGACUCGUAAUCCGAUAAAACCGUUCUCUAGUUCGGAUUGUACGGCUGCAACUCGCCUACU